rnacentral:tRNA from 1 species
GCCUUGUUAGCUCAGUCGGUAGAGCAUGAGACUUUUAAUCUCAGGGUCACGGGUUCGAGCCCCGUACAAGGCU